UCUGACAGCUCAACUGUUAGGCUUCCGGGGGAUACUGUCAGGCUUGGGACCGGGAGAGGUAAGAGGUACUACAGGGGUAGGAGUGAAAUCUUGUAAUCCCUGUGGGACCACCAGUGGCGAAGGCGUCUUACCAGAACGGGUCCGACGGUGAGGGACGAAAGCUGGGGGCACGAACCGGAUUAGAUACCCGGGUAGUCCCAGCCGUAAACGAUGCUCGCUAGGUGUCUGGGAUGGUGCGACCGUUUCAGGUGCCGCAGGGAAGCCGUGAAGCGAGCCACCUGGGAAGUACGGCCGCAAGGCUGAAACUUAA
rnacentral:rRNA from 1 species